rfam:Schistosoma margrebowiei strain Zambia genome assembly, scaffold: SMRZ_contig0000555
AUCCAGUUGAUCAGUCCCAAAUAGAGCGAAACGCGCGUCCUGGAU